UACGUAGGGAGCAAGCGUUGUCCGGAAUCAUUGGGCGUAAAGCGCGCGUAGGUGGCCAUUUAAGUCCGCUGUGAAAGUCAAAGGCUCAACCUUUGAAAGCCGGUGGAUACUGGAUGGCUAGAGUACGGAAGAGGCGAGUGGAAUUCCUGGUGUAGCGGUGGAAUGCGCAGAUAUCAGGAGGAACACCGGUGGCGAAGGCGGAUCUCUGGGCCGAUACUGACGCUGAGGAGCGAAAGCGUGGGGAGCGAACAGG
rnacentral:rRNA from 1 species